rnacentral:rRNA from 1 species
UACGUAGGGUGCGAGCGUGUCCGGAAUUAUUGGGCGUAAAGAGCUCGUAGGCGGUCUGUCACGUCGGCUGUGAAAACCCGAGGCUCAACCUCGGGCCUGCAGUCGAUACGGGCAGACUAGAGUUCGGUAGGGGAGACUGGAAUUCCUGGUGUAGCGGUGAAAUGCGCAGAUAUCAGGAGGAACACCGGUGGCGAAGGCGGGUCUCUGGGCCGAUACUGACGCUGAGGCGCGAAAGCGUGGGGAGCAAACAGG